rnacentral:rRNA from 1 species
GGUUAAGUGACUAAGCGUACACGGUGGAUGCCUAGGCAGUCAGAGGCGAUGAAGGGCGUGCUAAUCUGCGAAAAGCGUCGGUAAGGUGAUAUGAACCGUUAUAACCGGCGAUACCCGAAUGGGGAAACCCAGUGUGUUUCGACACACUAUCAUGUCAUGAAUACAUAGUGGCAUGAGGCGAACCGGGGGAACU